UAGGGAAUAUUGGACAAUGGGGGCAACCCUGAUCCAGCCAUGCCGCGUGAGUGAAGAAGGCCCUCGGGUUGUAAAGCUCUUUUGUCCGGAAAGAAAAGCAUUCGGUGAAUACCCGGAUGUUCUGACGGUACCGGAAGAAUAAGCACCGGCUAACUUCGUGCCAGCAGCCACGGUAAUACGAAGGGUGCAAGCGUUACUCGGAAUUACUGGGCGUAAAGCGUGCGUAGGUGGUUGUUUAAGUCUGAUGUGAAAGCCCUGGGCUCAACCUGGGAAUGGCAGUGGAAACUGGGCAGCUAGAGUGCGGUAGAGGGUAGUGGAAUUCCCGGUGUAGCAGUGAAAGGCGUAGAGAUCGGGAGGCACAUCUGUGGCGAAGGCGACUGCCUGGAGCAGCACUGACACUGAGGCACGAAAGCGUGGGGAGCAAACA
rnacentral:rRNA from 1 species